rnacentral:rRNA from 1 species
GAUGAACGCUGGCGGCGUGCCUAAUACAUGCAAGUCGAGCGAACAGACGAGGAGCUUGCUCCUCUGACGUUAGCGGCGGACGGGUGAGUAACACGUGUAUAACCUACCUAUAAGACGGGGAUAACUUCGGGAAACCGGAUCUAAUACCGUAUAAGAUAUUGAACCGCGUUGGUCAAUAGUGAAAUACGGUGUUGCUGUCACUUAUAGAUGGAUCCGCGCCGCAUUAGCUAGUUGGUAAGGUAACAGCUUACCAAGGCAACGAUGCGUAGCCGACCUGAGAGGGUGAUCGGCCACACUGGAACUGAGACACGGUCCAGACUACUACGGGAGGCAGCAGUAGCGAAUCUUACGCAAUGGUCGAAAGCCUGACGGAGCAACGCCGAGUGAGUGAUGAAGGUCUUCGGAUCGUAAAACUCUGUUAUGAGGGAAGAACAAAUGUGUAAGUAACUAUGCACGUCUUGACGGUACCUAAUCAGAAAGCCACGGCUAACUACGUG